AAUGAACGCUGGCGGCAGGCCUAACACAUGCAAGUCGAACGGAUCCUUCGGGAUUAGUGGCGGACGGGUGAGUAACGCGUGGGAACAUACCCAAAGGUACGGAAUAGCCUCGGGAAACUGGGAGUAAUACCGUAUGUGAUCGAAAGAGGAAAGAUUUAUCGCCUUUGGAUUGGCCCGCGUUGGAUGAGGUAGUUGGUGGGGUAAUGGCCUACCAAGCCGACGAUCCAUAGCUGGUUUGAGAGGAUGAUCAGCCACACUGGGACUGAGACACGGCCCAGACUCCUACGGGAGGCGGCAGUGGGGAAUCUUAGACAAUGGGGGAAACCCUGAUCUAGCCAUGCCGCGUGAUCGAUGAAGGCCUUAGGGUUGUAAAGAUCUUUCAGGUGGGAAGAUAAUGACUGUACCACCAGAAGAAGCCCCGGCUAACUCCGUGCCAGCCGCCGCGGUAA
rnacentral:rRNA from 1 species